CUGCAGGUCUGUUGGAGUUCGCUGGAGGUCCACUCCAGACCCUGUUUGUCUGGGUAUCACCAGUGGAGGCUGCAGAACAGCAAAUGUUGCUGCCUGAUCCUUCCUCUGGAAGCUUCAUCUAAGAGGGGCACCCGGCUGUAUCCACUUACAUUCUUGAGAGAAUGAAGGUAAAAAAGAAAAGUCUUCAGACCGUGGACAAUGUGCUCUUUGUCCCUAUUACGGAGAAAGGUGUUCCCUAGUGAAUGCUUUGGAUAUACCACAAUUUAUUGGAACAUUCCCCAGUGGACAGACAUUUAGAUUGCUUCCAGUUUAUCAGUAACAAAAAACAAAGGUGCAAAGAACAUGUUUGAACAGACUUGUGCCCUGUGUUGAUGACACAAGGAUUUAAUGAGUAGAAGACAACAACUUAAAACCUCUCAUUUGAGCAUGAAUUGUCUAGGUUAAAGGUAGGCAUUGAGAUCCCAUUAGCUACUGGCACACUUGGGAAAAGAAAUGUACACAUGCACAGACACACUUUAAAGCAAGACGUCCUAAAAAUACAGCGAUGCCUGUUUCUACUCAGACCCAAAAAUGGAAUUAAAGCCAAAACUUACAACCCCUCUACUAAUUAGAGAAGUAAAAAUGUCUUCACCCCAAGUGUCCCAGCACAACGUGAAACCGAAACAAGCUGCCUUUCUUUGGAUUCCACUUAUUUAUUUAUGUUUAAAAGAAUAUUUGAAGAAAAUGACGCCUAGUAAAAGAACAGUUGGAGAAAACAUGGGACACCAUACAUUGGAAGAGAAAUGUAGGUGGAGUACACAGCUACAACAGGGAUUUUUUUUUUUUUCUUGUUGAAACACAUGAUAAUGGGCUAAUAAAAAUCUAGUUACCUUUGC